ensembl:lncRNA
GUCGGAGUUGAGUCUUUUUUUUUCGUUUCUUAAAGGCAAAUCCAAAAAGGUCACGCAAGGUCACAGGAAACUUUCUCUUUUGGCGAGAUACAUUCGAUUGUUACAAACAUUAGAUAUUUUAUGUAUCAGUAAUACGUUGCCAUGUGAAUUCAAGUGAAUGAAAUUGACAAAAACAAAAUACCAUUUUAAGUAAUCAUUUUUUUGUUCACUUUGCCGAGCAGUUACGAAAAAAACUCGAGCCAAUUUACUUUCCCCCGCUUUUGUUGUCUUAAAUUUCGAGGGCUUGUUAUUUUUUCACCCCACUUCCGAAGGAGCCAAGCCAGUCGAAAAGAAGUAUUUGGAUGCGAGAAGCAGCGAGACGUUGGGCAAAGGCGAGGGAGCUUUGAGAAGCGACGAGGAAAAGCUGAUUGCCCUCCAGGAAACGCAUGGUGUGACUACAGCAGAGACCUCCAGAUUCCUCCUGGGGCAGAGGACGUGCGUUGCUAGGAGAUGGUUGUUGGGCUGGCGUUGCCAUGCGUGGAUGCUGUUCCCGGCCAUGCUUCGAUGUGCAGGAGGACAAGGAUUCAAUACUCUUUCAUGGAGCGUGUGUGAGAGGACCUUAAGAGCACUGGAAAAAAAAAAGCAGGAAAAAAAAAAAGCCUGUGCAUCAUCAGCCUCAUCAGGGACUGUGGUGGUAGCCGUACAUUCCUGGGGCGAAUCCUCUCUGGGGCACAGGAACCGACACGUUACCCCGAAGCAGCAGCAGCUUGUUUCAAAUCUGCACAAUAAGCACCGAGUAAUUGGGGACUUGUGGCGGUCCGUGGCGGCGGGCGGCAGCCAGCUCUGUGAGGGGCUCAACUUGGUUCUGCUCCGGUUCUGGUGGCUGGCUGACCAGAAGCCCCCCCCCCCCCCCCCCC